rnacentral:rRNA from 1 species
GGAUUCCCCUAGUAAUGGCGAAUSAAGAGGSAAAAGCCCAAAUUUGUAAUCUGGCUCUUUCAGAGUGGGAGUUGUAAUUUGAAGAACUGUUUUCAGUGCUGGACCAUGUUGAAGUCUGUUGAAAAGCAGCAUCAUUGAAGGUGAUAAUCCUGUUUAUGAUAUGGACUCCCAGUGCGAUAUGAUACAGUCUCUAAGAGUCGAGUUGUUUGGGAAUGCAGCUCAAAGUGGGUGGUAAAUUCCAUCUAAGGCUAAAUAUUGAUGAGAGACCGAUAGCAAACAAGUACCGUGAGGGAAAGAUGAAAAGAACUUUGGAAAGAGAGUUAACAGUACGUGAAAUUGUUAAAAGGGAAACGAUUGAAGUUAGACUUGUUAUUAUUAGUUCAACCUUUUUUUCAAGGAGUAUUCUAAUGAUUAACAGACCAACAUGAAUUUUUGGGUGUUGGAUAAGGGUUUAAGGAAAUGUAGCAGUCUCUGAUUGUGUUAUAGACCUGUGAGCUUUGAUACAAUGCUUAAGAUUGAGGAAUGCA